rnacentral:rRNA from 1 species
AACAAACGCUGGCGGCGUGCCUAACACAUGCAAGUCGUACGAGAAAGGGUCCUUCGGGGCCUGAGUAAAGUGGCGCACGGGUGAGUAACGCGUGGAUAAUCUGCCCUUCAGUUGGGAAUAACUCAUCGAAAGGUGGGCUAAUACCGAAUAAUGCUGUGAUACCUCGGUUGAUCAGCCAAAGAGAGCCUCUGCUUGCAAGCCCUCGCUGAAGGAUGAGUCCGCGUACCAUUAGCUAGUUGGUAGGGUAAGGGCCUACCAAGGCUACGAUGGUUAGCUGGUCUGAGAGGAUGAUCAGCCACACUGGAACUGAGACACGGUCCAGACUCCUACGGGAGGCAGCAGUGAGGAAUCUUGCGCAAUGGGGGCAACCCUGACGCAGCAACGCCGCGUGAGUGAGGAAGGUCUUCGGAUCGUAAAGCUCUGUCGGAUGGAAAGAACCGCAUAGGGGUAAACAGCCCCUGUGUCUGACGGUACCAUCAAAGGAAGCACCGGCUAACUCCGUGCCAGCAGCCGCCGUAACAC